rnacentral:rRNA from 1 species
UACGUAGGGUGCAAGCGUUGUCCGGAAUUAUUGGGCGUAAAGAGCUCGUAGGCGGUUUGUCGCGUCUGCUGUGAAAACUGGAGGCUCAACCUCCAGCCUGCAGUGGGUACGGGCAGACUAGAGUGCGGUAGGGGAGAUUGGAAUUCCUGGUGUAGCGGUGGAAUGCGCAGAUAUCAAGAGGAACACCAGUGGCGAAGGCGAGUCCCUGGACGAUAACCUGACCA